rnacentral:tRNA from 1 species
NNGAGUUAAUGAGCUUGAAUAAGCAUAUGUUUUGAAAACAUAAGA